rnacentral:rRNA from 2 species
GUUAUCCGGAAUUAUUGGGCGUAAAGCGUCCGUAGGUUUUUUGUUAAGUUUAAAGUUAAAUGCUAAAGCUCAACUUUAGUCCGCUUUAGAUACUGGCAAAAUAGAAUUAUGAAGAGGUUAGCGGAAUUCCUAGUGGAGUGGUGGAAUACGUAGAUAUUAGGAAGAACACCAAUAGGCGAAGGCAGCUAACUGGUCAUAUAUUGACACUAAGGGACGAAAGCGUGGGGAGCAAACAGGAUUAGAUACCCUGGUAGUCCACGCCGUAAACGAUGAUCAUUAGUUGGUGGCAAAAGUCACUAACACAGCUAACGCGUUAAAUGAUCCGCCUGAGUAG